CCCACAUCUCCACCACCCGCCGGGCCGGACUGGGCAGGGCCGCCGGCGCUCGCUCCCGCCCGGGCUUGGCCGGGGUCCAGGCUGGGCCACACGCCUCUCCUCCGGCCCUGCUCCCCGCGGUCCAGCUCACGCACGGCCUCAGCCCGCCCUUUUAGGUCCCUUCCCGCCUCCUUAGCUGUAGACCAGGGACAGAGAGAUGACAAAGGUUCACUUUCCUUACUCCUCUGUCAUCCUCUAACUACCUCCUCCUGCAAGCAUCGUCCCCCGCGCGCUGACCCCCUAAACUUUCACAUUCGUCCAGCACCAGUCUCCAACUUCGGGCUUGGAGUUCUCAGGUACCAGAACCCGAGAAAGGGACGGCGGUUAUGUUAUCUCUGGGAAGGCAUUGCAGCACGCCCAUCCACACGAAAACUCCGCAGCACCCCCAAAGCGGCGGGCUCCAUGUCCCCGAACUUCCUUGGCCUACCAUCGCCAUCGCCCCAUUUUCCGCGAUAGAAACACUGAGACCAGAGGGGGCGAAACGCUUUUCCGAUCUGAUGACAGCUUCCAUCUGUAGGGGCGACAGAGCCUGCGGCACCUUCCCCGGGGGACAUGUCUGAGAUGAUUUACCAGAUGCAUCAUCUGCACUUGGAUAUGCAAAAUCUACAUAUGUCCUCUUGUCAGCAGCUUCCGCCGAGGCAGCAUGCAGGAUUGGGACUUGCUUAUGGUCCAGACUCUAGAAGAUGAAUCAGCCGGGUUACAUGUUCUCCAUGCAAACAAAAGCAUAAAGUUGAGAGGGCUGGUUGGUUCCAGGAAAAGAACAGCCCUGUGCACUUCAAGCAUUCUGAUGAGAGAUUUUCUAAACUAAUAAACCAGUCUCUUUGAUUUAAAUCCCA